UCAAUGUUUAAAAUGUUAAAAACUGAUUAAUUUCGAUUGUGGCUUGCGCUUUUCUACUGCAGGAAGAAUUAUCUGAAUUAAGCACUUUUAAACAUCUGUGCAAUUACGCUUUAAAUCCCUUUAAAAGAAAAAUGAAAUUUUGAAAUGUUAAGAGUGUGUGUGGGAACAGUAACAUCUGAGGUUUCUGUAAAAUUUUAAAGUUUCUCUGAAUAUUCAUUCAAUUCUAAUCUUCUUUACGUUAAAUAUUUAAUCUCCUGUUCAACAAUAUAACCAAUCAUUAUUUUUGUGAAACUUCACAAGAGUCCUAUCGAAAUUCAGAAAAUUAUUCAAGAAAGAGCUUCCGUGCCAUUGACAUGUCAUCCAACAUUGAUCUCAAAGCUCUUAAGCUUUUAAAACCGGAUUAUAGAAAAAAAGGUCAUCAUCAUUCUAGCAUACUUCGGAGGACUUCGUAAUGUGGAGUUGAUGGACCUUCAAAUAGAGAAGAUGGUGAAAAAGAAUGAUGGGAUGCUUGUAACACAUUGUAGGUCGAAACAGCGCUCAGACAAGAAGGAAACCAAGUUCCAAGUUCCUAACGAUGGGCCAGGGUACUCCUGCUGCAUACGCUAACCAGCCUAUGGGGAAAAAUCUUGUAAGUAAAGUGCCAUGUUAAAUGGCAACAGAGCCCGUUCUCUUCAGAGAAAGUGGUAGUGUAGUUCACGUACUUUAGCGGACGAUAUGUUGGCCGCUAGAUGUCUCAUGCUAAAUUCUUAUCUGAUAGAUAGACA